rnacentral:sRNA from 1 species
AAAGAAAAUGUCAUAUGAUAAGUUGUAAAAUAGUGUUUGAUACUUGAGCAUGAUUUUGUAUUUUUUAAAGUUUUAAAAAGGUAGUUAAAAGUGAUAUUAAUGGAAGAUUUAACACAAUAGAAGACUUUUCAUUUUCCUUCAAUUAGUUAUGCUAAAUUUUUUGUUAAAUAAUGUAGAAUGACAUAUUUCAUUUUCUUGUGUGAUGAUGUGACAAUCAUAUGGAGAGAGUUGGCCAACUUUCAUAUAUAUGAUUAUCAUAUUAUCAGAAAAAUAUAAAUCAACUAAAACAAUU